rnacentral:lncRNA from 1 species
UCAACAUGAUCCUAUUUAUGUCAAAUUACCAAAUGGAAAUCAAGUCAUUGCCAAUUAUUCUGGAAGUGUUUUUCUCAAUCAAAAUCAUGUUAUAACAAUGUUUUGUAUAUUCCUUGUUUCACUUUUAAUCUUCUUUCAGUAACAAAAUUGAUUGAUAGAUUAUCUUGUGUUCUUACCUUUGAUUCUAAUGGUUGUCACAUUCAAGCCAAAAAAAUCCUUGAAAAUAA